GAUGAACGCUGACAGAAUGCUUAACACAUGCAAGUCAACUUGAACUUCGGUUUGGGUGGCGGACGGGUGAGUAACGCGUAAAGAACUUGCCUCACAGAUAGGGACAACAUUUGGAAACGAAUGCUAAUACCUGAUAUUAUGAUUAUAUGGCAUCGUAUAAUUAUGAAAGCUAUAUGCGCUGCGAGAGAGCUUUGCGUCCCAUUAGCUAGUUGGAGAGGUAACGGCUCACCAAGGCGAUGAUGGGUAGCCGGCCUGAGAGGGUGAUCGGCCACAAGGGGACUGAGACACGGCCCUUACUCCUACGGGAGGCAGCAGUGGGGAAUAUUGGACAAUGGACCAAGAGUCUGAUCCAGCAAUUCUGUGUGCACGAUGAAGUUUUUCGGAAUGUAAAGUGCUUUCAGUUGGGAAGAAAAAAAUGACGGUACCAACAGAAGAAGUGACGGCUAAAUACGUG
rnacentral:rRNA from 1 species